GGAAAAGUGUCUGAGUGGCCGAAGGUACUCCCUUGGAAAGGGAGCAGACGGUAAAACGUCUCGCGGGUUCGAAUCCCGCCUUUUCCGCCA
rnacentral:tRNA from 2 species